rnacentral:rRNA from 1 species
AUUGAACGCUGGCGGCGUGCUUAACACAUGCAAGUCGUGCGGUAACAGGCGUAGCAAUACGUGCUGACGAGCGGCGAACGGGUGCGUAAUACAUGGGAAUCUGCCCUUUAGUGGGGAAUAACCCGGCGAAAGCCGGGCUAAUGCCGCAUAAGAUCUUCGGAUGAAAGCGGGGGAUCGUAAGACCUCGCGCUGAUGGAUGAGCCCAUGCCGGAUUAGCAGUUGGUGAGGUAACGGCUCACCAAGGCGACGAUCCGUAGCUGGUCUGAGAGGACGGCCAGCCACACUGGGACUGAGACACGGCCCAGACUCCUACGGGAGGCAGCAGUGGGGAAUAUUGGACAAUGGGGGAAACCCUGAUCCAGCGACGCCGCGUGNGUGAAGAAGGCCUGCGGGUUGUAAAGCA